UGCUGCUCCGCCUCACGCCCAGCCUGUUGAUCGGUGGACGGGAAAGCGCGCAUGGCAUCGGAAGGAGCUCGAAAAGUAUAAGGUGAUGACAGUAAGUAACGAUACUGUGAUUUGUGAUCUUUCUGGGGUGUUAACUGUAAAGCAAUGGAUAAUUGCGUGAAAAUCAAACUAAAAGAAUGCAAUCUUGAGGAGUUAAUCCCCACAUUUGAA